UCAGAAAACCUGUAUGUCUU
rnacentral:misc_RNA from 1 species